rnacentral:rRNA from 1 species
CCUACGGGAGGCAGCAGUGGGGAAUAUUGCACAAUGGGGGAAACCCUGAUGCAGCGACGCAGCGUGAGUGAAGAAGUAUUUCGGUACGUAAAGCUCUAUCAGCAGGGGAGAAAAAAAGUCCUUUGGACUUUGGACGGUACCUGACCAAGAAGCCCCGGCUAACUACGUGCCAGCAGCCGCGGUAAUACGUAGGGGGCAAGCGUUAUCCGGAUUUACUGGGUGUAAAGGGAGCGUAGACGGCAGCGCAAGUCUGGAGUGAAAUGCCGGGGCCCAACCCCGGAACUGCAUUGGGAACUGGCGCGCGGGAGUGCCGGAGGGGUAGGCGGAAUUCCUGGUGUAGCGGUGAAAUGCGUAGAUAUUAGGAGGAACACCAGUGGCGAAGGCGGCCUACUGGACGGUGACUGACGCUGAGGCUCGAAAGCGUGGGGAGCAAACAGGAUUAGAUACCCCUGUAGUC